rnacentral:tRNA from 1 species
GUGAGGUCGGUGGUUCAAGUCCACUCAGGCCUACC